CCAGCUGGCCGGGCGGCCGCACGCGCAAGCACCGAAAGGUCGCGCGUGAGGAAAGUCCGGGCUCCAUGGAACACGGUGCCGGAUAACGUCCGGCGGGGGCGACCCCAGGGAUAGUGCCACAGAAAUUAUACCGCCUGCGCGACCUUCGGGUCACUUGGCAGGCAAGGGUGAAAGGGUGGGGUAAGAGCCCACCGUGCGGCUGGCAACAGUCCGUAGCAGGGCAAACCCCACCGGGAGCAAAACCGAAUAGGGACGGCGCGAGGGGAAACCCUUGGGGCGCGUUUCAGCCCGCCGUCCGGGUUGGUUGCGUGAGGUGCGUGGUAACGCGCAUCCAAGAAGAAUGGUCGCCACGUUCCGCCUUGAUCGGCGGGGCCAUACAAAACCCGGCUUACAGGCCAGCUGGCGCU
rnacentral:RNase_P_RNA from 1 species